GCAUAUCAAUAAGCGGAGGAAAAGAAAAUAACAAUGAUUCCCUUAGUAACGGCGAGUGAAGGGGGAUAAGCUCAAAUUUUAAAUCUACCAGGUUAACCUGGUCGAGUUGUAAUUUGAAGAAGCGUUUUCCGCGUCCGGGUCGGCCCAAAUCCUUUGGGAUAAGGUAUCAUGGAGGGUGAGAAUCCCGUUCGGCUGACCUUAGGAUGCUUUACGAUACGCUCUCAAAGAGUCGAGUUGUUUGGGAUUGCAGCUCAAAAUGGGAGGUAAAUUUCUCCUAAGGCUAAAUACCGGCGAGAGACCGAUAGCGAACAAGUACCAUGAGGGAAAGAUGAAAAGAACUUUGAAAAGAGAGUUAAAUAGUACGUGAAAUUGUUGAAAGGGAAACGAUUGAAGUCAGUCGUACCGGCGGGAAAUCAGCUUCUCGAGUGGGGGUUCGCGGGUGCGUGGAGCUUCGGCCUUCGUCGCUUGUGACACCUUUUGCUUCUGGAGCGUACUUUUCCGUGUGGUAGGUCAACAUCGGUUUCGAUUGCCAUAAAAUGACCGGAGGAAUGUGGCUUCGAUCUUGUAUUGGAGUGUUAUAGCCUCUGGUAGAUGUGGUGGUUGGGAUCGAGGAUUGCAACGAAUACCCUUUGGGCUAUCCGCCUGACCUCUGAAAGUCGCUUGGGUACCGAAAGCUUGCUUACGGUCAUUCAAGUUGGCGGUCAAAAGGUUANAACGUGAUUAAAUUCGUUAAGGAUGUUGACGUA
rnacentral:rRNA from 1 species